UUCUGGAUAACAUGCUGAAGCU
rnacentral:miRNA from 1 species